UUACUUACGAACAAGAUGAUUUCUCAAAUUGUAUUGAUAUCGCUUUUAUCAGACUCUUCGCUGGCCAUGCCUUCAUCACCUCCACCUCCUUGCAUCUGUAGUGAUGGAACGGGUAUAUUUCCCGGACAGACUCAUAAGGUUACAGAUUGUGAUAUAUGUAAAUGUAACGAACAAGACGGUGUAUCCACUGAUCAUAUCAACUGUUCUCUACCAGGGUGUGUUGAACCGUAUUCUGUAGAAGGAGAUGGAGUUUGCUGUCCAUCCUGUCCUAAAGGUCCAGAUUGUGAAGCUAACAAUGGUCCAGGAGAAUUCGACAGAGGCAUAAUUCCUGCAGAUCAUAAUAUACAUUUUCUUCGUGAUUAUGCAUGUUCAUGCAAUGGUCCCAGUCCAGCCAAUGCAAGUUGUUUUCCAUAUCCAGGCCCAAAAUGUCUUUGCCAUGACGGACUAUACACAGUUCCAGGACAUACUCAUUAUAUAUCAGAUUGUGAUAUGUGCACAUGUUCUUCACAAUAUCACGCGAGCCAAUAUAUUAUUGAUUGCUUUGAGAAAGAAUGUGUUGAUCCACUUUACAUAGCGGGUGAUGGUAUUUGUUGCUCUAUCUGUCCUAAUGGUCGGAACUGUUAUGUGAAACCGCCAGGCUGGGAGAAUCAGACUGUUAUUUCUUACAAUACGACGGUUGUGUUGGAUGGUUACACAUGUAAGUGUGUAGUAACUGAACCCUAUGGAUAUAUAGAAGGUCGGUGUAUACCACCAGUACCAACGGCAAACUAAACAACAUGGAACUUAAAGAUACAUUAUGGGAGAUUAAAUAACGAGUUAGUAGUUCUCACUACAAUAGUUAAAAACUAGAUAAUGUAAAGGCAAUUCGCUGAAAAUUUCAUUUAAAUUGAUCCACCAUGAACAGAGAACUAAGCGGUUGAAAUUUCCGCCUAGCCUCGAUCAUCAUUACUAAAGUCAUUUUAUCGUUAAAUCGUGAAGGAAAGUUAUGCAGUAAAUCGGCUCAUAAUCCACUAAAGAUCGCAGCCUAGCAUAACCAUCUAGAGUUGAUUAUGGUCUGGAUAGGUUAAUUAAUGUCUAAUUAAUAGUUUAGAUAACAUUUCAGGCCUAAAGAAAGACCUGCAACAGACAGAUUUAGCUCUUGCAUAAUGUAUGUUUAAUCAUCUACAAUCUUGAAUCCGGAGGGUUUCUAAUGGAUAUUUGACACCAACCUUUAACAAUAAACCACUCUCGGUUGUA